AUGUACUUUUCAUCGGUUGAUCGCUCGUAUGUUAAGUUAUUUCUUUUCUCAACUGUUUCGCCUAAUAUAACAUUUCUAAAGAAAGGUUUUAUUGUGGUGCGUGCGUGUUGUAAAUGGAAAGAAAGUCGUUGGCGCCUUGGAGUUAAAAGAAGGGACAACAGUUGACAUAUUGACUGGUACAAACAAGGGUCGAGUGGCCAUUGUGAAAUUUGGCCGAGAUGAAUGUGAGGAGGCCCCUACUAAAUGAAUUCUCGACUUGGAUGUUAAUCCAGAGAGAGUAGUACAUCCACUUACAUUUCAAACGCAACAUGGCUUGUCUUCAGGGGAAGAAGAAACCUCUAUCGACGAAGAAGAUUAGGAAAACCAGUCUCAAGUAGAAACUUAGACCCGCUCAGUCGCUCACGUCGUGGAAAUGCUAGUGGUGCUCAAACGAUAACUUUCAAUAAAAAUAUACUUGGUCACCGAUUCAAUUUGAAAGGUGAAGGCCGUUUUUCCUCGGAAAAACCCCAGCUCUAGACUGAUAGUUAUUUACGGAAGAAGACCGUAGUGCCCACGACGGAUUCAUUCAGUCAUUGCUAACUGAACGAAACGAAUUAUUGUUACAGUUCAGGAACUACGCUUCGAUGUAUUACUAGGCUCGAGUCAUUUGGACUUAAGAAAAGCCCUGGUUGGCAGGCAACAAUGAAGAAAUAAUCGACUUGAAGUUCAUCCUUCGUAUACGUAAACACCGAUCGACAAAAUUGAUGAGAAACACUUACCUUAAAUCGGAGUGUGCAGCCUUGACUUCGUCUUUUGACAUGGAUAACAGUGAUGGUAAAGCAAGCUUAAAACGGCAGAAAUCGUCAGAAACUACGACGGAUACACAGGGCAUGAGAGUUUGCGAUCGGUGAGAUAGACAGUUUACUUGGUGGACUCAGCACAGAUUUAGGAAAGACAAGAUAUGUUUAUACAAUGCUUGGGAAAAGCGUACCAUAUUGAAAAUCGGCUACAAUCACGGGUCGCGACUUGGAGUUUACCACACGAGGUCUAUCACCAUUUCGAGCUUUAAUUUAUUCCAUUUCAAUAAAAGUUUCUUUUGAAAAAAUAAAGAAUAAUUAAAGUGAAAUUUGUAUUGAAUAUAAAAAACCCUAACAUAGCUUUCAGUUUGAAGCGAAGGUUAACAAGGACAACUUGAAGUCUUUGUUUUGGUAGUUCUUUGGGUUUGCAGGGGUUGGCAAGCCGUCCUCGCGCGUUAUUUUUGUUAGCCAUAUUUUCUUUAAUAUUUUACUUUCCAGUAGCUUGUUGAAGCUUACUCCUUUUUUCUGUUUUAUUUAAAUAUGUGAUUUAAGAUUCAACCAUAACACAGAUCCCCAGUUCAACUAUUCGAAAUACUUGUCACAAAGGUCAAACAGGUCAACAACGACGAGGGGUCGAACAAAGUUUGACCAUUGCUUCGUCAUGGCGAAGUCAUAUCCAAGACGGCGUGCUUCUAGCCGCGAAAGUUGUAAAUGAUGGCAACUUCACAGCGCCCUUGUGGCAAUUACAAGGUAAACUGUUCAAAAAGACGUCUUUUCGAACUUCUGAGGAAAAUCCCUUUCAAUUGAGACAAAUUUUCUCUAGACCGUACUUUCCCUUUAAGAGCGUGAGACAGUAUGGUAAAUCU